GUCUUCGUGGAGCAAGGACGCUCGUUCCCUCUGUAUACACAGAUCAUGACGAACAUGUACGUGUGGGAAAGCUGGUGGUUCGACUCCACCCGAAGACA